GAGAGAGAGAGAGAAGAAGAAGAAACCUCCUUUACAAACAUAAAAUGAAAGAUAUGUAAAGAUAAAGUGAAAGAUAUUAACAUAAUUUAGCUCCCAUUCAAAGAGGGACAAUAAUAACUGUGAACUGCCUAGUAAGCUGAGGAGAUUACAAAGGAAAUUUGUGUACAUUAUCCAUAAGAUGAGAAAUGAUAAAACAAAAUUAUGCAAUGGCAUUGUACAUUUUUAUAAUUUCUGUAUCCAAAACAAAAAAGAAAAGAAAAGAAACAUUUUUGUGAAUUUUGUCAAUCUAUAAAUUAUCGUCCCUACACAAAAAUGGGAUCUCAUAAAUUUUCCUUUUCCAAAACUAUAAACUACAUUGCAACUAAUUUAAGAAAGAUCCAUUAGCCUGUGAUGCUGUCUAGAUUAGGGAUGAAAUGCCGCCUUUCAGUUUUUUAAUCACCAUCUCUACAAAGCAUGCAGCCUCAAACCUAUAAUAAUAGCUGCAUAUCACCAUAAAAUUAGAGGCAGCACCAAAGUUGAAUGAAAAAUACUUGAAAAUUCUGAUUUCAAGGAAUUGGCUUCACUGGACUGGAAGCUCCAUUUUGAGCUUGUUCUGAAGGUGAAGUCCUUGAAGACCCACUUUUCAAGAAAUUCUUUGAAUACAGAGAACCGAAGACGAUAACCUGAUCAUUGGAUAAAAUUAGUGUCCCAGGGCUUAAAAUGGGAAAAAAUAAUUUGGAAAGAAGGAUUGAGAUUGAGGCUUACAGCUCCAAUCCAUUGUUCCCAGCUAAGAGGAUGGGCAAACCACACGCAUGACAGCAUGAUGCUCACCAACUGUCGUGUCGUCAUUAUGGCAGCAAAAGUGAGAGCACCAAAUGUGCGAAUUGUGUAAGAAAUAAAGAACUGGCUAGCAGUUGCUACAGUGGAAAGCAGAGCAAUGUCAAACAAACAAUCUUUAUGGCGAUAAACAAAGUCUACGGCUAGAAGUAGAUGCCCUUGCACUACAAGGCCUGUGAAACUGAGAGCACAAGAGCAUAACGUAGUGUAGAAAAUUUGGUUGUGUAUUUCCAUAUCAUAACCUUUAAAUAGUUUAUCUUGGAAUGUGCUAGUAAAGCCAUCAAACCCAAGAUAACCAAGCAUCAGGGUAACACCCCAAACAGUAUUUUCCCUUCCUCUGCUGUAUGGACUGAUAUCAGUUCCUGCCGGAAAUAAAAUAAAAAUUGAACAACCCAAAGUAACUAGAAAAGCAAUUAAGUAGUCCAUUCCCUUGUAUCUCUUUUGCAUAAUGACAGUACCCCAGAUCAUGACAGGAAUCAUUUUGGCACAUUUUGCAAGUGUCUGAACAGGAAAACUGACAUAUUUGAGGGCCUCAUAUUGGCAAGUUGUGGUUAAUAUGUUGGAUACUGAUAUGAGGCAGUACUUGUAAACUGGAGCAACAGGGUUCAAGGCCUUUUUACUUGCCAAUAGAACGCCAGCAGAAACAGCAGAGGUUGUAAUGCGGUUACAGAAAACAAGAAAUAGCGAGUACUUGAAAUACUCUUUGUUCUCCCCAUAAGGGACUCUCAUGAUCUUUUCCUGCAAAACACCAUAGAUCACAAGAGUGGUCAUGAUUCCUGCCACGGCAAAAACCCCUUUCCAUAGCUUGUUCUCUUUAACACCAGCUGAUGAUAACGAAUCGGCCAUUACCCCAUUCACCAAAAGAAAAACUUAACACCACAUUGUACGAUCAGCCGCCGGAGAGAAGAAGAACAGCGGAUGUGAAGACAGAGAUUUGGAUCAGAGAGAGAGAGAGAGAUGGACUGUGGAUAGGUGGAGGAAAAUGGAAUAGGAGCGGAUUGAGAAAAAGAGAGAAGAGUAUGUGCAUGUGGGUGUUUAGAGACACAGAUAGAGAUCACCAGAGUCUCGUUUUCUCCGGCGAUUUUGUCUCUGUUUUGUUUUGUUUAGACUUUGGAGUUUGAUGUUCUUUUUCUUCUUUU
rnacentral:misc_RNA from 1 species